rnacentral:rRNA from 1 species
UGGCGACCAUAGCGUUUUGGACCCACCUGACUCCAUUCCGAACUCAGAAGUGAAACGAAAUAG